rnacentral:rRNA from 1 species
UACAGAGGGUGCAAGCGUUAAUCGGAAUUACUGGCGUAAAGCGCGCGUAGGCGGUUAUUUAAGUCGGGUGUGAAAGCCCCGGGCUCAACCUGGGAAUUGCAUCCGAUACUGAGUAACUAGAGUAUGAGAGAGGGAGGUAGAAUUCCACGUGUAGCGGUGAAAUGCGUAGAUAUCAAGUGGAACACCAGUGGCGAAGGCGAGUCCCUGGACAACUCCUGACACUGAGGCACGAAAGCUAGGGGAGCAAACAGG